GUUCUUCGGAACUAGAGACCGGCGCACGGGUGCGUAACGCGUAUGCAAUCUACCUUUUACAGAGGGAUAGCCCAGAGAAAUUUGGAUUAAUACCUCAUAGUAUAUAGCCCUGGCAUCAGGAUUAUAUUAAAGUCACAACGGUAAAAGAUGAGCAUGCGUCCCAUUAGCUAGUUGGUAAGGUAACGGCUUACCAAGGCUACGAUGGGUGGGGGUCCUGAGAGGGAGAUCCCCCACACUGGUACUGAGACACGGACCAGACUCCUACGGGAGGCAGCAGUGAGGAAUAUUGGACAAUGGGCGCAAGCCUGAUCCAGCCAUGCCGCGUGCAGGAUGACGGUCCUAUGGAUUGUAAACUGCUUUUAUACGAGAAGAAACACUCCUUCGUGAAGGAGCUUGACGGUAUCGUAAGAAUAAGGAUCGGCUAACUCCGUGCCAGCAGCCGCGGUAAUACGGAGGAUCCAAGCGUUAUCCGGAAUCAUUGGGUUUAAAGGGUCCGUAGGCGGUUUAAUAAGUCAGUGGUGGAAGCCCAUCGCUCAACGGUGGAACGGCCAUUGAUACUGUUAGACUUGAAUUAUUAGGAAGUAACUAGAAUAUGUAGUGUAGCGGUGAAAUGCUUAGAGAUUACAUGGAAUACCAAUUGCGAAGGCAGGUUACUACUAAUUGAUUGACGCUGAUGGACGAAAGCGUGGGUAGCGAACAGGAUUAGAUACCCUGGUAGUCCACGCCGUAAACGAUGGAUACUAGCUGUUGGAAGCAAUUUCAGUGGCUAAGCGAAAGUGAUAAGUAUCCCACCUGGGGAGUACGUUCGC
rnacentral:rRNA from 1 species